AGCUAAUACCGGAUAAUAUUUUGAACCGCAUGGUUCAAAAGUGAAAGACGGUCUUGCUGUCACUUAUAGAUGGAUCCGCGCUGCAUUAGCUAGUUGGUAAGGUAACGGCUUACCAAGGCAACGAUGCAUAGCCGACCUGAGAGGGUGAUCGGCCACACUGGAACUGAGACACGGUCCAGACUCCUACGGGAGGCAGCAGUAGGGAAUCUUCCGCAAUGGGCGAAAGCCUGACGGAGCAACGCCGCGUGAGUGAUGAAGGUCUUCGGAUCGUAAAACUCUGUUAUUAGGGAAGAACAUAUGUGUAAGUAACUGUGCACAUCUUGACGGUACCUAAUCAGAAAGCCACGGCUAACUACGUGCCAGCAGCCGCGGUAAUACGUAGGUGGCAAGCGUUAUCCGGAAUUAUUGGGCGUAAAGCGCGCGUAGGCGGUUUUUUAAGUCUGAUGUGAAAGCCCACGGCUCAACCGUGGAGGGUCAUUGGAAACUGGAAAACUUGAGUGCAGAAGAGGAAAGUGGAAUUCCAUGUGUAGCGGUGAAAUGCGCAGAGAUAUGGAGGAACACCAGUGGCGAAGGCGACUUUCUGGUCUGUAACUGACGCUGAUGUGCGAAAGCGUGGGGAUCAAACAGGAUUAGAUACCCUGGUAGUCCACGCCGUAAACGAUGAGUGCUAAGUGUUAGGGGGUUUCCGCCCCUUAGUGCUGCAGCUAACGCAUUAAGCACUCCGCCUGGGGAGUACGACCGCAAGGUUGAAACUCAAAGGAAUUGACGGGGACCCGCACAAGCGGUGGAGCAUGUGGUUUAAUUCGAAGCAACGCGAAGAACCUUACCAAAUCUUGACAUCCUUUGACAACUCUAGAGAUAGAGCCUUCCCCUUCGGGGGACAAAGUGACAGGUGGUGCAUGGUUGUCGUCAGCUCGUGUCGUGAGAUGUUGGGUUAAGUCCCGCAACGAGCGCAACCCUUAAGCUUAGUUGCCAUCAUUAAGUUGGGCACUCUAAGUUGACUGCCGGUGACAAACCGGAGGAAGGUGGGGAUGACGUCAAAUCAUCAUGCCCCUUAUGAUUUGGGCUACACACGUGCUACAAUGGACAAUACAAAGGGCAGCGAAACCGCGAGGUCAAGCAAAUCCCAUAAAGUUGUUCUCAGUUCGGAUUGUAGUCUGCAACUCGACUACAUGAAGCUGGAAUCGCUAGUAAUCGUAGAUCAGCAUGCUACGGUGAAUACGUUCCCGGGUCUUGUACACACCGCCCGUCACACCACGAGAGUUUGUAACACCCGAAGCCGGUGGAGUAACCUUUUAGGAGCUAGCCGUCGAAGGUGGGACAAAUGAUUGGGGUGAAGUCGUAACAAGGUAGCCGUAUCGGAAGGUGCGGCUGGAUCACCUCCUUUCUAAGGA
rnacentral:rRNA from 1 species